UGAUUAAGUAGAAUAUUUAUUAUGUUAGAUGAGUGUAAGUCUAAGGGAAGGAUUAAAGCAGGGGAGAAAGGUAAGGAAUUUUGAGAGAGGGAGGGAAUUGCCAAGCUGAGUGAUCAUGUAAUAUUUGAGUAAGUCCUGAAGAAAACAAGGUAGGAGUCAUGCUGGUACCUGGGGUGAGCAAGUACAAAAAUCCAGAGGAUUGGAAAGUACAAAAAUCCUGAGGCAUGAGUGUACCUGGUGUGUUCAAGGUUCAAGGCCAGUGUGGCUGGAGGAAAGGGAGAGGAAGAGAACAUGAAGAAGAUGAAGUCAGAUAAUGCAAGGAGCUAGUUGGCAGAUUUUGUGGGGUCUUGUAGGUCAAUGAAAGGACUUUGGUUUUUCCUUUUUUGAAAUGAAAAGCCAUGGGAAGUUUUUAAACAGUAGACUGAAUAACAUAAUCUGACUUGAGUUUUAACUGGGUAGUUUUGGCUAGCAUAUUAAGAAUAAACUAAAGGAAGCAAGAAUGAAACUAGGGAAAUCAAUUAGGAGACAGUAGCAAUAAUCCAGGUGAGAAUUUGUGAUAGCUUAGUCCAGGAUGCUACCAGUGGAGGUUGAGAAGACUUGGUCAGAUAGUGGAUGUAUUUUGAAGUCAGUGCUGACAGAUCAGGUGUGGAGUGUGAGAUGGAGAGCAG
rnacentral:lncRNA from 1 species